ensembl:lncRNA
AGAAUGCAAAAGGCCCAGUACACAUUGCAAAUAAUGAUCUCUUUUAUUCACAGUUACUGUCAUUGGACAACUUAACAUAGCUGGAAGGGUAUAUUUUGAAAGUUACAGCAAUCCAAAUUCUAAUGAAUAUAAAACCUUGCAUGAUGAAUUAUUGCCAAAGCUGAAAGCGGUGUACAGUACAUUGAAUUCAUUUGAUGACAUACACAUCACAGGGUUCAGUCGUGGUAGUGUCAUCAUCGCUUUUGAAAUGAACCUCAACGACGUUUCAGCUGAUGUCCUUGCAAGCAAAACAGCAGAAUUGGAAAAAAUACUGAAUUCUACGUUCACGCUAGAGACAGCAGGCGUCGUUGAGAUCACAGUACCAGAAGGCCCGGUAAAAUAUGAUUCUAAACAGACAAUUCUCUGCCAAGCCAAGGAGGACAUGAAACCAAUUGAAUGGGUUUUGAAAAGGAGUGAUGGUAAAACAUUUGACGUAACAACAGGUACUGAUGCUACAGUGAUACCCACUAGUAGGACGACUACAAUUCUCCUCAGACAGGCAACGGAGAUCUGGGAAGGUCUGUACACGUGUGUCUUCAAUCCAAAAUCCUCCAAUGUGACCAUAAACCACAAAGCCAGUGCAACACUAGACAUAGCGCUCCUGCCACAAAUUGACAUCAGUAGCACGCCCCAAUUUCCGGACUGUUACAACAAAUAUAAUGCAAAUGCUAGAAUCUUUGUCAGAGUUCAAUGCGAAAUUAUGAAUAGCACUGAAAACUACAAUGUGACAUGGAAUUACACCAACACUGAAACUCCAUUAAAUGAACAAAAAGAUGUUACCGGUACUGGCAUAAUUUACAGGAUUGAUACGACUGUCAGCUGCAGCAGUUUACAAGAGCCAGCUGUAACAUGUACAUUUAUUAACAUCCUGUCCCAAGAGAAAAAUGCUACUGUCAAUAUCCCUGUUAUCUACAGUAGGUUUUCAGUACCAUUAUCCAGCAUGAACAGUGUAUUUUGCCAUAUGAACAAUUAUGCUCUGAAUUGGUGCAGUAACAUUCAACGGCAUACCCCAAUCUUCUUGGAAUGGGUAACAAACGCAAGCAUAUUUUCAGUGAAAUCUAAGAUAAAUAUACUGAACAAAAAUAUAAAAAUGCAACAUGGAACAUUUUCAAACAUUUUAUUGAGUUACAGUUCAUAUAAGGAAAUCAGUCAAUUGAAAUAAAUAUAUUAGGCCCUAUCUGUAGAUUUCACAUGACUGGGCAGGGGAGCAGCCAUGGGUGGGCCUGUGAUGGAACAGGGCCACCCACUUGGGAGCUGUCCCAGCCAAUCAGAAUGAGUUUUUCCACACAAAGGGUUUUAUUACAGACAUAAAUAUUCCUCAGUUUCAUCAGCAGUCUGGGUGGCUGGUCUCAGACAAUCCCACAGGUAAAGAAGCUGGAUGUGGAGGUUCCUGGGCUGGCGUGCUUACACGUGGUCUACGGUUGUGAGACAGGUUGGACAAACUGCCAAAUUCUCUAAAAUGACGUUGGAGGCGGCUUA